GUAGUCGUGGCCGAGUGGUUAAGGCGACAGACUCGAAAUCUGUUGGGAUAUUCCCGCGCAGGUUCAAAUCCGGUCGACUACG
rnacentral:tRNA from 1 species